rnacentral:lncRNA from 10 species
AUCAUCAAGUUUCCUGAAGGCUAUAGCCGGAGCCACGAAAAAGUUCGGAAACAAAUUGCUUGGUCUUUGAGGAAUCGCCACACUGCCUUCCACAUGGAAAGGACACAAAUGGUUGAACUGAUUUACACUCCCACCAACUGUGUAUAAGUGUGCCUUUUUCUCCACAACCAGCUUUGUUAACAGCGUGAAGACUAGAAGAAAAAGAAUGGAAGAAAGAAGUGAAAGAGAAACAAAUAGGGAAGGGGAUCCCUCGGAUGACUGGGAAGGAAAGGAAAACCAGAAAAAGCAGUCAGGAUGAAUGCCUGACAAAAAACUCUGCUGCAGUGACACUUUGACAUGAAGCAGAUUCAAACUUUCUAUGACUGAACAGGACAUUUUCCAUUUAUUGCUCCUUUGAUACCCAAGCUCCUCAAUGGGGGUAUUCUUCAAUGAGACACUUUUACCAGUGACCAUAUUCUUGCUUGUUGGUUUCUUUUUUUUUUAAAGUAUGUUGCUGCUGUACUUUUAAGAAAGUUGUGUUUUAUCUUAGUACUUUGAUAUUCAUAAAUGGUAUAAAGCAUAAUUUUACCACAUAGCUUUAAUGGAAUACUUUUUACAAACAAAAUAAAACUUGACCUUCUUCCACCCUAUCUCCACAUCGGAACUAAUUUUACUACAUUUUAUUUUUCAAAAACUAUUAAUUCAGUCAAUGAAUAUUGACUUUGGACUACAUUGGGUCAUUUUCAAUGGAUUGCUCUGGUACAGCUUUACUUUGUCAUGUCCUUUGUUCUUGCUCUUUCUUGUCUACCUACCAGUUAAAAUAUGAAACUCAUGAAGCAUUUAGCUCCCUGGAUAGUGAUUCCUGUAUCAGGGUGAAUCAUGCAAACUUUCAUAUUGUCUAAACUAUAAUUCAGAAAUAUAAUGUG